GGAUGUGAGGGUGAUCUGGCUGCGACAUCUGUCACCCCAUUGAUUGCCCAGGGGUUGAUUUUGCUGAUUGGGCUGGCUAGGCGGGUGUCCCCUUCCUCCCUCACCGCUCCAUGUGUGACCCUACCAAGGCUGCGUGCUCGGUCGAAGACGGCCUUCCCCAAAGAGAGACGGACCGGUCUUCAGUUGACGGUAUAUGAAUAGCUGUGCUCCCCUGCUAGAACCUCCAAACAAGCUCUCAAGGUCCAUUUUUAGGAGAACAUAGAAUAGUCAAGCUUCCAAAUCUCCAGACACAUCCAAAUGAGGUGCUGCAUGCGGCAGUUUUCAUAUAUAU
rnacentral:snRNA from 1 species